GGANUGCCANUGGGCGAAAGCCUGAUGCAGCAACGCCGCGUGCGGGAAGAAGGCCCUAGGGUUGUAAACCGCUUUCAGCAGGGAAGAAGAUGACGGUACCUGUAGAAGAAGGUGCGGCCAACUACGUGCCAGCAGCCGCGGUGACACGUAGGCACCAAGCGUUGUCCGGAUUUAUUGGGCGUAAAGAGCUCGUAGGCGGUUCGGUAAGUCGGGUGUGAAAACUCUGGGCUCAACCCAGAGCCGCCACCCGAUACUGCUGUGACUUGAGUUCGGUAGGGGAGCGGGGAAUUCCUGGUGUAGCGGUGAGAUGCGCAGAUAUCAGGAGGAACACCAGUGGCGAAGGCGCCGCUCUGGGCCGAGACUGACGCUGAGGAGCGAAAGCGUGGGUAGCAAACAGGAUUAGAUACCCUGGUAGUCCACGCCGUAAACGUUGGGCACUAGGUGUGGGUCUCAACCAACGAGAUCCGCGCCGUCGCUAACGCAUUAAGUGCCCCGCCUGGGGAGUACGGCCGCAAGGCUAAAACUCAAAAAAAUUGACGGA
rnacentral:rRNA from 1 species